CCUACGGGAGGCAGCAGUCGAGAAUCAUUCACAAUGGGGGAAACCCUGAUGGUGCGACGCCGCGUGGGGGAAUGAAGGUCUUCGGAUUGUAAACCCCUGUCAUGUGGGAGCAAAUUAAAAAGAUCGUACCACAAGAGGAAGAGACGGCUAAAUCUGUGCCAGCAGCCGCGGUAAUCCAGAGGUCUCAAGAGUUGUUCGGAAUAACUGGGCGUAAAGCGUGCGUAGGCUGUUUCGUAAGUCGUGUGUGAAAGGCGCGGGCUCAACCCGCGGACGGCACAUGAUACUGCGAGACUAGAGUAAUGGAGGGGGAACCGGAAUUCUCGGUGUAGCAGUGACAUGUGUAGAUAUCGAGAGGAACACUCGUGGCGAAGGCGGGUUCCUGGACAUUAACUGACGCUGAGGCACGAAGGCCAGGGGAGCGAAAGGGAUUAGAUACCCCAGUAGUC
rnacentral:rRNA from 1 species